UACGUAGGGUGCGAGCGUUGUCCGGAAUUAUUGGGCGUAAAGGGCUCGUAGGCGGUUUGUCGCGUCGGGAGUGAAAUCCACUGGCUUAACUGGUGGCUUGCUUUCGAUACGGGCAGACUGGGGGUAUGCAGGGGAGAACGGAAUUCCUGGUGUAGCGGUGAAAUGCGCAGAUAUCAGGAGGAACACCGGUGGCGAAGGCGGGUCUCUGGGCCGAUACUGACGCUGAGGAGCGAAAGCGUGGGGAGCGAACAGG
rnacentral:rRNA from 1 species